rnacentral:lncRNA from 1 species
CACCAGCAGCAGCUUCAUCUGUCUCUUUGCUCUUCUUUUUCUUCUUCUUCUCACUCUUCUCUGCUGCUGAUACAUCUUCACCAUUAGCCGCAGCAGCUUCAUCUGCCUCCUUGCUCUUCUUUUUCUUCUUCUUCUCUGACUUUGGUGUAGCCAACUCUUCUUUAUCCUCCUCCUUGUCCUUCUUUUUCUUCUUCUCCUUUUUCUCAGACCCAGCUUCUUCUUCUUUCCCCUCCGCCUUGUCCUUCUUCUUCUUUGCCUUAACCUUCUCUUCAACCUCUCCUCCUUCGAGAUCUUUUGUUUUAGCUUUCUUCGUUGACACAGGGGCAGGGCUGUCACUGCUAUCAUCAUGCUUACGCUUGCGCACCUCUCCACUCACAGCCUCAACCUUUCCCUCGGGAGCGGCAGCAGCACCAGCAAUCAUAGCAUCACCACCAGUUGGCAAGACCACCACGUUCCUGCUCCACUCUAGAGGCGUUUUCUCAUUCGGCUUCCCAUGCUUAUCCAAUUUA